rnacentral:rRNA from 1 species
GAUAACGCUGGCGGCGUGCCUAACACAUGCAAGUCGAACGAUCCCGCAAGGGAGGGUGGCGGAAGGGUGAGUAACACGUGGGAAUCUACCUCCUCGCAGGGGAACAACCUCUCGAAAGAGAGGCUAAUACCCAAAGGGUCAGAAAUGGUCAGAGUCGAAAGGCGUGAGGAGAGGAGCCCGCGGCCCAUCAGCUAGUUGGUGAGGUAAUGGCUUACCAAGGCUACGACGGGUAGGGGAUCUGAGAGGAUGUCCCCCACACUGGAACUGAAACACGGUCCAGACGCCUACGGGUGGCAGCAGUGAGGAAUAUUGGACAAUGGGCGGAAAAGCCCGAUUCCAGCAACGCCGCGUGGAGGAUGAAGGCCUUCGGGUCGUAAAC